GAUGAACGCUGGCGGCGUGCCUAAUACAUGCAAGUCGAGCGAACAGACGAGGAGCUUGCUCCUCUGACGUUAGCGGCGGACGGGUGAGUAAUACGUGGAUCACCUACCUAUAAGACUGGGAUAACUUCGGGAAACCGGAGCUAAUACCGGAUAAUAUUUUGAACUGCAUGGUUCAAUAGUGAAAGACGGUUUUGCUGUCACUUAUAGAUGGAUCCGCGCCGCAUUAGCUAGUUGGUAAGGUAACGGCUUACCAAGGCAACGAUGCGUAGCCGACCGGGGAGGCUGAUCGGCCACACUGGAACAGAGACACGGUCCAGACUCCUACGGAAGGCAGCAGUAGAGAAGCGUCCGCAAUGGGCGAAAGCUUGACGGAGCAACGCCGCUUGAGUAAUGAAGGGCUUCGAAUCGUAAAACUCUGUUAUUAGGGAAGAACAAAUGUGUAAGUAACUAUGCACGUCUUGACGGUACCUAAUCAGAAGGCCACGGCUAACUAGGUG
rnacentral:rRNA from 1 species